rnacentral:rRNA from 1 species
AUGGCGGACACGAAGGCCAGCGCGGCGGUCACCCUCCGCACCCGCAAGUUCAUGACCAACCGCCUCCUCUCCCGGAAGCAAUUCGUGCUUGAGGUGAUCCACCCCGGCAAGGCCAACGUCCCCAAGGCGGAGCUCAAGGAUAAGCUGGCCAAGAUGUACGACGUGAAGGACGCCAACUGCAUCUUCGUGUUCAAGUUCCGCACGCAUUUCGGGGGCGGCAAGUCCACUGGAUUCGGUCUCAUCUACGACAACCUCGAAGCAGCCAAGAAGUUCGAGCCCAAGUACCGCCUGAUCAGGAAUGGUCUUGCUACUAAGGUUGAAAAGUCUCGCAAGCAAAUUAAGGAGCGUAAGAACAGAUCUAAGAAGAUCCGUGGUGUCAAGAAGACCAAGGCUGAUGCCGGGAAGAAGAAGAAGUAA